AUUGAACGCUGGCGGUAUGCUUAACACAUGCAAGUCGAACGAUGAGAAAGAGCUUGCUCUUUCGAUUAGUGGCGGACGGGUGCGUAACGCGUAGGAAUCUACCUAUUAGUGGGGGACAACUUAGGGAAACUUAAGCUAAUACCGCAUACGCCCUACGGGGGAAAGAAGGGGAUCGCAAGACCUUUUGCUAAUAGAUGAGCCUGCGUAGGAUUAGCUAGUUGGUGGGGUAAAAGCUCACCAAGGCGACGAUCCUUAACUGGUUUGAGAGAAUGAUCAGUCACACUGGAACUGAGACACGGUCCAGACUCCUACGGGAGGCAGCAGUGGGGAAUAUUGGACAAUGGGCGAAAGCCUGAUCCAGCAAUACCGCGUGUGUGAAGAAGGCCUUAGGGUUGUAAACUUCUUUUAAGAGGGAAAAAACUGGGCUACGUGUAGCCCAUUGCUUGUACCUUUUGAAUAAGCAUCGGCUAACUCCGUGCCAGCAGCCGCUGUAACAC
rnacentral:rRNA from 1 species